UACGAGGGGGGCGAGCGUUGUUCGGAAUUAUUGGGCGUAAAGGGCGCGUAGGCGGUGCGGUAAGUCACCUGUGAAACCUCUGGGCUCAACUCAGAGCCUGCAGGCGAAACUGCCGUGCUGGGAGUGUGGGAGAGGUGCGUGGAAUUCCCGGUGUAGCGGUGAAAUGCGUAGAUAGUCGGGAGGAACACCUGUGGCGAAAGCGGCGCACUGGACCACAACUGACGCUGAGGCGCGAAAGCUAGGGGAGCAAACAGG
rnacentral:rRNA from 1 species